CUGCCGUUUCCAGCUACAAUACUCAUUUACAACAUUUCUGAUAAAUGUUAUGUUAUUUUAAAUUUGAUGUUAUCUUUAAAAAACAAGGACAUUUCUAAGUGAACGUUGGCUAAAAGUACAGAUGGCAAAGGGAGAUUUGCCACUCGCCACCUGAUCCUCACACGGCACCCCGAUCUCUUUCCGUGAAAUCUCAGUUUCUUUCUCCAGCGAAUGACGGGGAUGAGGGCCUGUUCGGCAGUUGAGUACAUCCUUACCGUCAAAAAUAAUGUGUCCAAUUUGAGUUCAGAGAAGUCAAAGAGAAACUGAAGACAGAAGGAAUAGAACACAAGUGGAGCCUUGUUUCAGGUUGUCAGUGGGCGGAGCCGGGAGGGUCGUCAGCGAAUAAAUCGAUAAAUGCACCUCUUCCCCAUUCAUUGAGGAGACCCUCUCCAUGCAGACACAAAUUUUGGUUCUGGCAAUGUUGUGGCAAUGUUGUGGCAAUGUUGUGGCAAUGUUGCAAUUGUUUGCGUUGGCACCUUUCAACACCCCUCAUUAUCACAUUUAUGCAUGCAACC